CCUCCAUCUAUUCUCCAUCUGACGACGUCCCGUCCCGUCAGGUAGAAUUUAGAGGAGAAA
rnacentral:pre_miRNA from 1 species